rnacentral:rRNA from 1 species
ACUGAAAGUCGUUUUCGGCUGACACUCACAGAUGGGCCCGCGGCGCAUUAGCUAGUUGGUGAGGUAACGGCUCACCAAGGCGACGAUGCGUAGCCGACCUGAGAGGGUGAUCGGCCACACUGGGACUGAGACACGGCCCAGACUCCUACGGGAGGCAGCAGUAGGGAAUCUUCCACAAUGGACGAAAGUCUGAUGGAGCAACGCCGCGUGAGCGAUGAAGGCCUUCGGGUCGUAAAGCUCUGUUGUUAGGGAAGAACAAGUAUCGGAGUAACUGCCGGUACCUUGACGGUACCUNGCCAGAAAGCCACGGCUAACUACGUGCCAGCAGCCGCGGUAAUACGUAGGUGGCAAGCGUUGUCCGGAAUUAUUGGGCGUAAAGCGCGCGCAGGCGGUCCUUUAAGUCUGAUGUGAAAGCCCACGGCUCAACCGUGGAGGGUCAUUGGAAAACUGGGGGACUUGAGUGCAGAAGAGGAAAGCGGAAUUCCACGUGUAGCGGUGAAAUGCGUAGAGAUGUGGAGGAACACCAGUGGCGAAAG